rnacentral:rRNA from 1 species
UACUCCUACGGGAGGCAGCAGUAGGGAAUAUUGGUCAAUGGGUGGAAGCCUGAACCAGCCAUGCCGCGUGCAGGAAGACGGCCUUCUGGGUUGUAAACUGCUUUUAUCUGGGGAUAAAAUUCCCUUGCGAGGGAGACUGAAGGUACCAGAUGAAUAAGCCACGGCCAACUACGUGCCAGCAGCCGCGGUAAUA